UACAGAGGUCUCAAGCGUUGUUCGGAUUCAUUGGGCGUAAAGGGCGCGUAGGCGGUCAGCACAAGUCAGUUGUGAAAUCUCCGGGCUUAACUCGGAAAGGUCAACUGAUACUGUGCGACUAGAGUGCAGAAGGGGCAACUGGAAUUCUCGGUGUAGCGGUGAAAUGCGUAGAUAUCAGGAGGAACACCGGUGGCGAAGGCGGGUCUCUGGGCCGAUACUGACGCUGAGGAGCGAAAGCGUGGGGAGCGAACAGG
rnacentral:rRNA from 1 species